UACGUAGGCAGCGAGCGUUGUUCGGAGUUACUGGGCGUAAAGCGUGCGUAGGCGGUGUCUUAAGUUUGUUGUGAAAUCUCCCGGCUUAACCGGGAGGGUGCGGCGAAUACUGAGAUGCUGGAGUCCGGUAGGGGAUCACGGAAUUCCUGGUGUAGCGGUGAAAUGCGCAGAUAUCAGGAGGAACACCGGUGGCGAAGGCGGGACUCUGGGCCGAUACUGACGCUGAGGAGCGAAAGCGUGGGGAGCAAACAGG
rnacentral:rRNA from 1 species